AGUGAACGCUGGCGGCGUGCCUAAUACAUGCAAGUCGAACGGAGUGGUGCACGGGUGUGUAACGCACAGCUAAUAUGCCCUUCACUAGAGGACAACAGUUGGAAACGGCUGCUAAUACUCCAUAGUGUAGGAUGAGGCUAUAUUGUCUCAGCUGGUUGGUGAGGAAUUGGCUCACCAAGGCUAUGACGCAUAACUGGUCUGAGAGGAUGAUCAGUGACACUGGAGCUGUGAUGCGGUCCGGACUCCUACGGCAGGCAGCGGUAGGGGAUAUUGCUCAGUGGGGGAAGCCCUGAAGCAGCAGCGCCGCGUGGGGGAUGACGCUUUUCGGAGCGUAUACUCCUUUUGUUAGGGAAGCGGUACCUAACGAAUAAGCGCCGGCUAACUCCGUGCCAGCAGCCGCGGUAAUAC
rnacentral:rRNA from 1 species